rnacentral:lncRNA from 1 species
AUCUUUAAUCCCAAAUAACUUGUCCUGGUUGGAAAAAUUGAGAUUUAGGAGGUUUUCCAACCGGGACGAAUGCUCGUUUCUCUACUGGUGACACUAAAAGAUCACAUAUAGAUCGAUGUAGCUAUAAACCUGUCUUGAGGGGAAAAGGAUAUGAUAUGUUCUUAGGACAAUAAUUAUUUAGUGGAAGCAUGUACCACGUUCCUCGUUUUAAAUACAGGGGUUAUGCAUUGCUGGUGGUUUUCAAUCAGUUCUUGUAGGGUGUCAGUGUGUUACUACUGGAACAAAUCAAAUUCAUAAUUCUGGGGUGUGGCAGGGAGAAAACUCAAAAUCAAUUAAACAAUUAUUUGAAUAUAAACAUUGCGUGGUCAACAUUGAUCCACCUGAUCAAAGCUCCCGGCCGUUUCAAGGGGUUUUCUUUUAUUAAGGGUCUGAAAAAGGGCAAGUUCGCUUACGCAGCAGCCAGUGAUUUAAAGAGUAUUACCUUACUGUGAACGCAAAGUUCUAGCAGACCAUUCAGCUUAUGAAAAUAAUAGAAUUAUCGAAAUGGACUAGUAUGACUAUGACAUCACUGCAUUAUUGUUUUAAAUUAUGGCCUAAAAUAAUGUCCACUAUCUUAUAGUUACUGCCGUUUGGUAGGAUGUCUGCAGUCUGAUUCU